GAGUUUGAUCAUGGCUCAGAUUAAACGCUGGCGGCAUGCCUUACACAUGCAAGUCGAACGGCAGCACGGGAGCUUGCUCCUGGUGGCGAGUGGCGAACGGGUGAGUAAUGCAUCGGAACGUAUCCUGGAGUGGGGGAUAACGUAGCGAAAGUUACGCUAAUACCGCAUAUUCUGUGAGCAGGAAAGCGGGGGACCUUCGGGCCUCGCGCUCUUGGAGCGGCCGAUGUCGGAUUAGCUAGUUGGUGAGGUAAAGGCUCACCAAGGCGACGAUCCGUAGCAGGUCUGAGAGGAUGAUCUGCCACACUGGAACUGAGACACGGUCCAGACUCCUACGGGAGGCAGCAGUGGGAAUUUUGGACAAUGGGGGCAACCCUGAUCCAGCCAUGCCGCGUGAGUGAAGAAGGCCUCGG
rnacentral:rRNA from 1 species